CCUACGGGAGGCAGCAGUGGGGGAUAUUGCACAAUGGGGGGAACCCUGAUGCAGCGACGCCGCGUGGGUGAAGAAGCGCCUCGGCGCGUAAAGCCCUGUCAGCAGGGAAGAAAAUGACGGUACCUGAAGAAGAAGCCCCGGCUAACUACGUGCCAGCAUCCGCGGUAAUACGUAGGGGGCAAGCGUUAUCCGGAUUUACUGGGUGUAAAGGGGGCGCAGACGGCGAUGCAACCCAGGGGUGAAAGCCCGGGGGCCAACCCCGGGACUGUUCUUGGCACUGCGUGGCUGGAGUGCAGGAGGGGCAGGCGGAAGUCCUGGUGUAGCGGUGAAAUGCGUAGAUAUCAGGAGGAACACCGGUGGCGAAGGCGGCCUGCUGGACUGCAACUGACGUUGAGGCCCGAAAGCGUGGGGAGCAAACAGGAUUAGAUACCCGAGUAGUC
rnacentral:rRNA from 1 species